ACUUUCUUACUGCUGUAUUUCUUUCUUGGGCAAUAUAUGACUUACUGAGGAAAAUUCCUAAUGCUUAGAAAGAACCCUUCGUUGUAAAAGCAAUUGCUUGAAAAAGCUGAGCAUAUAGCUUAGUGGUAUAACACUUGCCUAGCAAUGCUCAAGGACCUGGCUCAAUCCCUUGAAUUAUAAAAAAAAAAAAAAAAAAGUCCUGGAGCUCUGGGAUUAUAGGCCUGUGCCACCACAUAUGGUGCAAAAGUAUUCUCUGUGUCAUUUUCAUUUUUGGUAGAAAAGAACCCAUGGUAAUAAGUAGCCAUCAGUUUCAAGUGCCACAGAUAAUUUUCUUUGCUUCAUUGUUUUUCUGCUUUCUUGAGGUCAAGUAUGCCUCAGAGUUUGUCCAGCAUCAUUCAUUUUACAUAGUUACAUUUAAUUAAUCUAGUCCCUUCAGUAAUCAUGGCCUUUGCUCAUAUAGCUACCAUAUUGCUUACUGAAGCAAAAUUGAGGCUCUUCCAUUUCAUACAGUCUCUUUGUCAAUCAAAUAGGUGUGUUUCAGAUUUUAAAUGACUAUUCGUACAACUAAAAUUAAUAAAAGUUAUUUUUGACAGAAAUUCCUCAUAAAUCUCUGAGAAUUAUUAGAAAAUAUAAAUUAUUAGAAAAUACAAAUCUGAUCUAAUUUCAUCAUGUCUAUUUACUAGUCUUAUAAACUCAUCCUUUGUCAAUCCUUUCCCAGCUAAUUAUAUAAUAAUUAUAGUAUCCAGUCAGAUACAGGUGAGACUGAAAGUGGCUAGAACUGUACUCUCUUUAACCAGUACCUUUCAACAUUACUCAGAGCUGCUGGAUGCCCAAACACAUGAACAUUAGCAGGCAUUUUGACUAACAUUUUGACUGACAACUCUCUAAGGUUUUCAAUACAGUGUAACCUCAGUUAUUUGAAUUCUUUAAAUGAUGUCAGAAAAAGAUUAAGGGUUCUGUUUGUAAAGGUAAUCAAAAUUUAGUUAAGCAGAGACAUUUACAAAUUAUGGGUUAAUGUAAUUAUAAUUAAUGUUUCAGAUCAUUGAAGUUACACUGUAUUCUUACUUAAUAUCUUCUGGGAUAUGUAAAUCAGAAAACCUUAGAGAUCUGCUCCACAUUGAAUAAAAACAAACUUACCUUUUCCUCAUAGGGAGAUUACCCGCUCCAGCCUUGAACCAGUGGUGUUGUGGAUGUCAACAACCGAGUGUCCACUGGGGUGUCUCAAUGGAGCGGGAAGAUGCCGAUUGCAGGGCAGUAAAUUCAGGCAUCUUUAAAAGAAAGAGGUAAGACAGUCUUAAGGUUAGCUGAAAUGCCUGCCAAUAUUACUUUGUGUGGGAAUCCAGCUGUUCUUAGAAAAGUUGCCAGGGCCUUGGUUAAACCAUAGAGUUCAUAUCUAGAACAAGAGUCUCUCACAUAGCUACAACUUCAGGUAAUAAAAGUAAAUGAAGCAAUCCUGUGACAGAUGGCAUGCUGUCAUGGUCAGGACUGAAUGUAGGACCUUUCAAACUCCCAAAGAAAGCAGACUUCUCAUCAUUUUGGUCAUGAAACAUUUUGCUCUUACCUUCUCCUUUACUUUGAUAUGGAUUUUUUCCCUUUUUUAAAAAUUAUCUGCUCUGUUUCAUUCAUCAUUUUACAGUACAAAUUUCUUCAUCUUGCUUAGAUAAUUCUCAUUUUUAAAUCCUUUGUCAGAUUUAAAAGGUGUCAGCUCCAGUGUUUUAUUAAAAUUUUGUAGAUUGAGAUGAGUGGUGGCACAUGCUGUUAAUCCUAGGACUUAGUGGGUAGAAGCAGUAGGCAUCUCUGUGUUUGAUGCCAACCUUGUCUACAUAGCAAGUUUUAGACCAACCAGUGUUACACAAUGAGACCCUAUUGCAAAAGGAAAAAAUUAUUCACUAGAUUGGAAAAAGUAUUAACCAUGUUGUUUAGAUUCUAUUUAUAAUGAAAUGUCUAGUCUUGGUUUGCUGAAAUGUCAUUGCUUGAAUUUAUGAAUAAAAUUUCUUGCUUGCGAGGCAUGGAAGGAUUGCAUACCUUUAGUCCCAGCCAGCACUCAGUAAUAGAGGCAGGCACGCUCUCUUAGUUGAAGGCCAAAAUGGCCAGCCUUGUCUACAGAGCCAAGUACUGGGCUAGCCAGAGCUACACAAUGAGACACUGUCUCAAAGAAAUGAAAAUUUUUCAUAGUAUUCUCAUAUUGCUUAUAUGUAUACAUAUAAAUAUGUCUUUGAACUAUACAUAAAGGAAACUUUAUAGAGAAUUUAUUAGACUUUCUUUAGGUGUAUUAAAUGGUAUAUGUUUUAUAUUUCAAAUGCGUAAUUCCAAUGUAAAAUGGUAAUAAGUCACAGAAUAUUGAUUGAAUUGACUUAUUGGAGCUGAUAAUAUAUUGGUGGAGGUUAUUUUUACAUAAGUUUAGUGUCUAUGGCCCUUAAUCAUUUAUCUGUCUUAUAGGUCUUAGUGAAACUUGGAGUAUUUCUAAUCU
rnacentral:lncRNA from 1 species